rnacentral:rRNA from 1 species
CGGCGAGUGAAGCGGCAAUAGCUCAAAUUUGAAAGCUGGCGUCUUCGACGUCCGCGUUGUAAUUUGUAGAGGAUGCUUCGGCGAGGACUCCUGCCUAAGUUCCCUGGAAUGGGACGUCACAGAGGGUGAGAAUCCCGUAUGUGGCGGGCGGUCCAAGCCAUGUGAAGCUCCUUCGACGAGUCGAGUUGUUUGGGAAUGCAGCUCUAAAUGGGAGGUAAAUUUCUUCUAAAGCUAAAUACCGGCCAGAGACCGAUAGCGCACAAGUAGAGUGAUCGAAAGAUGAAAAGCACUUUGGAAAGAGAGUUAAAAAGUACGUGAAAUUGUUGAAAGGGAAGCGCUUGCAACCAGACUCGUUCGCAGUUGUUCAGCCGGCCUCUUGGCCGGUGUACUCUUCUGCGGUCGGGCCAGCAUCAGUUCGGGCGGCUGGAUAAAGGUGUCGGGAAUGUAGCUCCCCUCGGGGAGUGUUAUAGCCCGGCGCGGAAUGCAGCCAGCCUGGACUGAGGAUCUCGCUUCGGCAAGGAUGCUGGCGUAAUGGUUGUAAGCGGCCCGUCUUGAAACACGGACCAAGGAGUCUAACAUCUAUGCGAGUGUUUGGGUGCCAAACCCAUACGCGUAAUGAAAGUGAACGGAGGUGGGAACCCGCAAGGGUGCACCAUCGACCGAUCCUGAUGUCUUCGGAUGGAUUUGAGUAAGAGCAUAGCUGUUGAGACCCGAAAGAUGGUGAACUAUGCCUGAAUAGGGUGAAGCCAGAGGAAACUCUG